UCGACAACCAAAGUGACCUGAGUGCCUGCGUAGCUAGUGUUGUAUCUGGUUGGCCAUGGACAAGUACACGAUUCGCAUCCUUGCACUAGGAGCCCUAGUGUGUCUACAUCUCGUAUGCUCUGCUACUGUUGCUCAAUGCCAAAUCAUGGCUGACACCGACAGCAAGAAGAUCGAUCUACCAGACGGGCUAUGCGUUGAAAUAUCUCCUGACGGUUGUACAUACCACGAUGGUCUUUGCUUCCAUUGUUUGGUAACUGACGUCUACUACCCCACUAUGGAUGACUGCAAGAGCAAUUGCAACAAAUCCUCGUCUUUACAAGACGUGCUAGUUGCCAUGACAACCUCCCCUCCUCCUCCUUUAUCUGCUCCUUAAUUUUCCGGCCUAGACAAUGGUUAUAUGUACAAGAUUGUCCCCUGAAAAUAAUGCCUAUGUGCGGAAACCAGUUA